ensembl:lncRNA
GCCAAACAGAGAGGAUGAAUCAAGAGCUGGAAACCGCCCUCAGAUGUACGGUCUCCAACAACCCGUCCACAUGGUCGUCCUUCAUUGUCUGGGCCGAGUACGCGCACAACACCUUGUGCUCCUCCUCCACUGGUAUGUCCCCGCACGAGUCAGUUUGGCUAUGCCCCUCCAUUGUUCCCGGACCAGGAGGCAGAAGUCGGAGUGCCUUCAGCCUUGAAAUUCAUCAGACACUGUCGGCUUAUGUGGAGGAAGACCCGUCUUAAUAUUCUGCGUGCCUCACAGCGGUACCAACGACAAGCCAACAGACGUCGCCGUCCUGGGCCUACCCUGCGCCCCGGCCAGAGUCUUGCUCUCCACAAAAAAUGUACCGCUACGGGUGGAGUCUCGCAAGCUGUCCCAUAAAUACAUCGGUCCCUUUAACUUCUUGCGUCGAUCAAUCCCGUAUCCGGGAGCGUAAUCAUAGCCUCAAGCUCAUUACCAUAACGGAACGUUAACUAUUCAUGAAAAUCGCAAAUGAAAUGAAAGAAAUAUAUUCACUCACAAGCUUAGCCUUUUGUUAACAACACUGUCAUCUCAGAUUUUCAAAAUAUGCUUUUCAACCAUAGCUACACGAGCAUUUGUGUAAGAGUAUUGAUAGCUAGCAUAGCAUUAAGCCUAGCAUUCAGCAAGCAACAUUUUCACAAAAGCAUUCAAAUUAAAUCAUUUACCUUUGAAGAACUUCGGAUGUUUUCAAUGAGGAGACUCUCAGUUAGAUAGCAAAUGUUCAUUUUUUCCAAAAAUAUUAUUUGUGUAGGAGAAAUCGCUCCGUUUUGUUCAUCAAGUUUGGCCAAGAAAAAAACCUGAAAAUUCAGUCAUUACAACGCCAAACUUUUUUCCAAAUUAACUCCAUAAUAUUGACAGAAACAUGGCAAACGUUGUUUAGAAUCAAUCCUCAAGGUGUUUUUCACAUAUCUAUUCAAUGAUCAAUCAUUCGUGGCAGUUGGGUUUCUCCUCGGAAGCAAAUGGAAAAAUACACGCAGCUGGAUAUUACGCAAUAAUUGCGACGGAGGACACCAAGCGAGCACCUGGUAGAUGUAGUGUAAAAUGGUCAAUCUUCCAAUGAUAUGCCUACAAAUACGUCACAAUGCUGCAGACACCUUGGGGAAACGACAGAAAGUGUAAGCUCAUUCCUGGCGCAUUCACAGCCUUAUAAGGAGACAUUGGAACACAGCGCCUUCAAAAUCUGGGGCACUUGCUGUUUGAAAUUUCAUCUUGGUUUCGCCUGUAGCAUCAGUUCUGUGGCACUCAGAUAAUAUCUCUGCAGUUUUGGAAACAUCAGUGUUUUCUUUCCAAAGCUGUCAAUUAUAUGCAUAGUCGAGCAUCUUUUCGUGACAAAAUAUCUUGUUUAAAACGGGAACUUUUUUAUCCAAAAAUUAAAAGAGCGCCCCCUAUAUCGAAGAAGUUAAGGUUGCCAGGAGAGUGAACCCCGUUACAUAUUGCCUGCAUUUACUCAGAUCCCUUAAGAUUAAUCCCACGUUUCACAUUUUCUUAUUAAAACCUGUUUUCUUUUCUCCCCUUGUCCCGGCAGGCAGACCUCCGCCCCGUGUCAUCGGAGGCCAGCCGGCUUAUACUGUCCAUCGGAUACUGGGUGCAGCGGUCCUGGCAGUAUCUGGUGGACUGGGAAGGCUACAGUCCCGAGGAGCGCUCCUAGGUUCCUGCCAAAGACAUACUGGACCCUGACCUCAUUCGACAGUUCAGGGCCCUCCACCCCGAGAAAGCUGGACAAUGACCCAACACACUUCCAGGCUGUGUAAGGGCUAUUUGACCAAGGAGGAGAGUCAUGGAGUGCUGCAUCAGAUGACCUGGUCUCCACAAUCCCCCGACCUCAACCCAAUUGAGAUGGUUUGGGAUAAGACCGCAGAGUGAAAGAAAAGCAACCAACAAGUGCUCAGCAUAUGUGGGAACUCCUUCAAGACUGUUGGAAAAGCAUUCCAGGUGAAGCUGGUUGAGAGAAUGCUAAGAGUGUGCAAAUCUGUCAUCAAGGCAAAAGGUGGCUACUUUGAAGAAUCUGAAAUAUAAAAUAUAUUUUGAUUUGUUAAACACUUUUUUGGUUACUACAUGAUUCCAUAUGUGUUAUUUCAUAGUUUUGAUGUCUUCACUAUUAUUCUACAAUGUAGAAAAUAGUCAAAUUAAAGAAAAACCCUUGAAUGAGUAGGUGUGUCCAAACUUUUGACUGGUACUGUAUAUAUACAACUCAAGAAAAUAACCUUUUUUGACUGCAGCUAGGCCAUUCCACUAAUUCGGUGCCUUUUAAGAAGUGUAAGGUGGUUAUUUCACCUAUUAAAACAAUUAUGUCAUAAAGAGCAAAUGUUCAACUUAAUAAAAAAAUUGUUUUCCCAUCUAAAUUGGUUAAAUAAAAUUUAAAAAAUGCUAUAGUAAAUGCCUUUUAAGUGCCAAAUAAAGUAACAUGGUUGAUUAUAAGGUUGAUGAGUUCAUGUUAAAUCAGCCAUAAAUCCCCUUGUGACAGGGUGAAUGGAAGCUUGUGUGCAACAGGGAGUGGUAAUUAAAUGCAAGCUUCACAAAAAAAAAUGUAAUUGUUAAAACAAUUGUAGCCUGUCUACAGUAGGUUGGUUGGAU